rnacentral:lncRNA from 1 species
CUGGGGACAAGGGCAGGGCUAAGAGGGACGAGAGAGCCAGGAAAGUCCAGGCCAAGGGUGCCUCUUGAACCUUGUGGCUGAGGGGAGCAGGCUGUUGGGAUGAUCAGCAGACAUGGAAAGUCCUUCCAGCUCUACCCCUGUGUAUUUCCCAGCGAAUGCUCUCGGAUUUUAGGACUUACCUCCUAAAAUUUUCACUUGGUCUAAAGCAAAAGGCCCCAGGCUUUCUGCCAGGAGCUGCAACUUUUCAUCUGAUGAGGAGAUGAAGAGAUGGUGCAUCAGAGAAAAGUGACAAAGGUGGCAAAGGUGUGG